rnacentral:tRNA from 1 species
GCUGUAGCUCAGUUGGCUAGAGCGCUGCACCGGAAUCGCAGGGCCGUAGGUUCAAUUCCUACCAGAAGACC